rnacentral:rRNA from 1 species
UACGUAGGGUGCGAGCGUUAAUCGGAAUUACUGGGCGUAAAGGGUGCGCAGGCGGUUAUAUAAAACAGAUGUGAAAUCCCCGGGCUCAACCUGGGAACUGCGUUUGUGACUGUAUGACUAGAGUACGGUAGAGAGGGGUGGAAUUCCUGGUGUAGCAGUGAAAUGCGUAGAUAUCAGGAGGAACAUCGAUGGCGAAGGCAGCCCCUUGGACCUGUACUGACGCUCAUGCACGAAAGCGUGGGGAGCAAACAGG